ACUGUGAGGCUGAGAGCGCACUGGAACAGGCUGCCCAGAGAAGUUGUGGAGUUUCCUUGUCUGGAGACAUUCAGCACCUGCCUGGAUGUGUUCCUCUGUGACCUACUCUAGGGUGCUUCAUCUCUGACCAUACCAGGUGGGAUGAGAUCCAGAGCGUCUGGUGUGGGUCUAUUAUAGCUCUCCUGCUUACACAGAAUGGAUGUGAACCAGCAGAGAUUUCUUUUCACCAAGGGCUUAUUCUGCACUCUGGCCCCUUUGCAGCAUCUAAGCAGGUACAGUGAUGCCAAUCAUGGGGA